AAUAGAAUAUAACACACAAAUAGAUCAUAACAUUCAUUCUCUCCAAUUCACUUUGUUAUUUGAAAGAGUUAGGGUUGGUUCUCUCUCUACUCUGGCGAGAAAUGCUGCCUCAAUUUUCAGGUUUAUUUGGAAGUAUUGGUGAUGGCACGAGUGGUGUCGGAAAAAAAUAAAAUUCGAUAUGGUCCUAGGGACGUCCUUCCAAACAUUGUCCAUCAAUGUCUAGAUCAGAGGUGCCUUUAUCAUCCGAAGGUACUUCUCAUGCAAAGUGAGAUAUAGGUGAUAGUAGAUGGGUUCGACUCGAGGAAAGAAUACAUCGAAAAUUAUGGUCAACAAUGGUGGCGAAAAGCUACUCGUUGAGGUGACUACAAAUAAAGGAUGUCUAGUAGUACGUAAUUCCACUAAGUUGGCAAAUGAGCUUGGUGUAGAGAUUCGAUUGAGGGCACUGUUGCAGGGAGUGACUUGUUGGGGCAAGAUUCCUGAACCAAUUUAGAGAGGCGAUCAUUCAGGCUGCUCGCGUAUUUGCAUAUGAUUCCUUCAUAUAAGUAGGUUAAUAAAUAGAGGUUAUCUUCUUUACGGCUGUCCCGUAAUUCAGAAUUUUAUGGCAGCCAUUCACUAUGUGCCACAUAAGUCGUUGGUGAGUGGCUGUGUAACGAGUCGGGUCAAAUUCGAUUUGUAUUUUCUUUUUCAGCACCUGUUUGGUAAUUGUCUUGGUAUAUUUGUGGGUUUGUGUCUUGGUUAAAGCGGGAUUGGUACGAGUUUUCAAAUUGUUUAAUUGUGUAAUUAUUAUUAUAGUUGUAGGGUCGUGGAUCAUUCUAUUUAAAUUUGUGAAAUUACA